GUUUGAUUUUUAAAACUUUUGUUUUUGAUAUAACGUAAAGGGUUUUUUUAAGAUGUUUUCUUUUCAGGAUCUAGAUCAAAUCAAUGAUGUUUUUACCCUUGGAAUUGAAAAUGAAAACUAAACUGGUAUUUAUUGAAAUUGGAAUGAAUUGAUUUCAAGAUCAAUUCUUCCAAAUCCAAUUUUAAUUCAUACCAAUUAAUUCCAAAAAAAAAUAUUGUGUUUCUGGUUCGUAAUGGCGGAGGAUGAGGGUGGUGGUGGUGAUCAGGUGAGUUCUAGGAAAACCUAGAUUUAUUCACAAAAUACAAAAGAUGUAUCUGAAUGCAUAAUGCAUAUUCUGACAGAAAAAUAUGUUUUGGUCAAAUUGCACCCGAGUGCAUAAUACAUAUAUGUUUUGAAUUUUUUUGUUGUUCC